rnacentral:rRNA from 1 species
UGGGGAAUUUUGGACAAUGGGCGCAAGCCUGAUCCAGCAAUGCCGCGUGUGUGAAGAAGGCCUUCGGGUUGUAAAGCACUUUUGUCCGGAAAGAAAACUUCUGGGUUAAUACCCUGGGAGGAUGACGGUACCGGAAGAAUAAGCACCGGCUAACUACGUGCCAGCAGCCGCGGUAAUACGUAGGGUGCAAGCGUUAAUCGGAAUUACUGGGCGUAAAGCGUGCGCAGGCGGUUCGCUAAGACAGAUGUGAAAUCCCCGGGCUUAACCUGGGAACUGCAUUUGUGACUGGCGGGCUAGAGUAUGGCAGAGGGGGGUAGAAUUCCACGUGUAGCAGUGAAAUGCGUAGAGAUGUGGAGGAAUACCGAUGGCGAAGGCAGCCCCCUGGGCCAAUACUGACGCUCAUGCACGAAAGCGUGGGGAGCAAACA